GACGAACGCUGGCGGCGUGCCUAAUACAUGCAAGUCGAACGCAGUGGGGACGGGUGAGUAACACGUGGGUAACCUCCCAUCAGAGGGGAUAACACUUGGAAACAGGUGCUAAACCGAUACUGAUGGAUGAACCCGCGGUGCAUUAGCUAGUCGGGGGGGUAACGGCUCACCAAGGCUACGAGGCAUAGCCGGCCUGAGAGGGUGAUCGGCUAACCUGGAACUGAGACACGGCCCAGACUCCUACGGGAGGCAGCAGUAGGGAAUAUUCGGCAAUGGGCGAAAGCCUGACCGAGCAACGCCGCGUGAGUGAAGAAGGUUUUCGGAUCGUAAAGCUCUGUUGGUGGGGAAGCGGUAUCUAACCAGAAAGCAACGGCUAACUACGUGCCAGCAGCCGCGGUAAUUC
rnacentral:rRNA from 1 species